rnacentral:rRNA from 1 species
AUUGAACGCUGGCGGCAUGCCUUACACAUGCAAGUCGAACGGCAGCACGGGAGCAAUCCUGGUGGCGAGUGGCGAGCGGGUGAGUAAUAUAUCGGAACGUGCCCAGUCGUGGGGGAUAACGUAGCGAAAGUUACGCUAAUACCGCAUACGAUCUAUGGAUGAAAGCGGGGGAUCGCAAGACCUCGCGCGAUUGGAGCGGCCGAUAUCAGAUUAGGUAGUUGGUGGGGUAAAGGCUCACCAAGCCGACGAUCUGUAGCUGGUCUGAGAGGACGACCAGCCACACUGGGACUGAGACACGGCCCAGACUCCUACGGGAGGCAGCAGUGGGGAAUUUUUGGACAAUGGGCGCAAGCCUGAUCCAGCAAUGCCGCGUGC